CGCAUCUGUGCAUGCAGCAUAUCAAUAAGCGGAGGAAAAGAAACUAACAAGGAUUCCCUUAGUAACGGCGAGUGAAGCGGGAAGAGCUCAAAUUUGAAAUCUUCAAGGUUUUACCUUGACGAAUUGUAGUUUAAAGAAGUGUUUUCUGUUGAAGUUUUGGUAAAAGUUCUUUGGAAUAGGACAUCAUAGAGGGUGAGAAUCCCGUAUUUGACCAUUAUUUUCAGCUGUGUGAUACACUUUCAAAGAGUCGGAUUGUUUGGGAAUGCAGUCCAAAAUGGGUGGUAAAUUUCAUCUAAAGCUAAAUAUUGGCGAGAGACCGAUAGCGAACAAGUACCGUGAGGGAAAGAUGAAAAGAACUUUGAAAAGAGAGUUAAACAGUACGUGAAAUUGUCAAAAGGGAAGCGUUUGACACCAGUGUUGUUUUCUCGAAAAUCAAUUAAAAAGAGUUUAGAUUUUGUUGUGUAUUGACCUUAACAGCUUGCAUUUCAAUUUUCUUGCUUUUUUAAUGCACUUUUCGUUUAACAAGUCAACAUCAGUUUCUUUUGUUGUAAAAAGGUCAUUGGAAGGUGGCUUUCUUUUCGGAGAAAGUGUUUAUAGCCUUUGACUCCUGCAAUCGGAGAGACUGAGGUCUGCAGCGUAGAUCCUUCGGGGUUAGAUACAUUUGUGCUAAGUUAUAGCUUUUUAUAGACAACUUGUUGACUAUGAUUAGUCUUGUAGCUUACUCGCUUAUGCUAUUUUACCUACGCUUAGGAUGUUGACGCGCGUGUGUGCGUG
rnacentral:rRNA from 1 species